rnacentral:miRNA from 1 species
GCAUCAGCAUAAAUAUGUCCAUGAAGUUUUGGAGACAUACUUAUGCUAAAA